rnacentral:rRNA from 1 species
CCUGGCUCAGAUUGAACGCUGGCGGCAGGCCUAACACAUGCAAGUCGAACGGUAACAGGAAGCAGCUUGCUGCUUCGCUGACGAGUGGCGGACGGGUGAGUAAUGUCUGGGAAACUGCCUGAUGGAGGGGGAUAACUACUGGAAACGGUAGCUAAUACCGCAUAACGUCGCAAGACCAAAGAGGGGGACCUUCGGGCCUCUUGCCAUCGGAUGUGCCCAGAUGGGAUUAGCUAGUUGGUGGGGUAACGGCUCACCUAGGCGACGAUCCCUAGCUGGUCUGAGAGGAUGACCAGCCACACUGGAACUGAGACACGGUCCAGACUCCUACGGGAGGCAGCAGUGCCGAAUAUUGCACAAUGGGCGCAAGCCUGAUGCAGCCAUGCCGCGUGUAUGAAGAAGGCCUUCGGGUUGUAAAGUACUUUCAGCGGGGAGGAAGGCGAUAAGGUUAAUAACCUUGUCGAUUGACGUUACCCGCAGAAGAAGCACCGGCUAACUCCGUGCCAGCAGCCGCGGUAAUACGGAGGGUGCAAGCGUUAAUCGGAAUUACUGGGCGUAGAGCGCACGCAGGCGGUCUGUCAAGUCGGAUGUGAAAUCCCCGGGCUCAACCUGGGAACUGCAUUCGAAACUGGCAGGCUAGAGUCUUGUAGAGGGGGGUAGAAUUCCAGGUGUAGCGGUGAAAUGCGUAGAGAUCUGGAGGAAUACUGACGGGCUGCGAGGCGGCCCUGGACAAGACUGACGCUCAGGUGCGAAAGCGUGGGGAGCAAACAGGAUUAGAAACCCUGGUAGUCCACGCCGUAAACGAUGUGGACUUGGAGGUUGUGCCCUUGAGGCGUGGCUUCCGGAGCUAACGCGUUAAGUCGACCGCCUGGGGAGUACGGCCGCAAGGUUAAAACUCAAAUGAAUUGACGGGGGCCCGCACAAGCGGUGGAGCAUGUGGUUUAAUUCGAUGCAACGCGAAGAACCUUACCUACUCUUGACAUCCAGAGAACUUACCAGAGAUGCUUUGGUGCCUUCGUGAACUCUGAGACAGGUGCUGCAUGGCUGUCGUCAGCUCGUGUUGUGAAAUGUUGGGUUAAGUCCCGCAACGAGCGCAACCCUUAUCCUUUGUUGCCAGCGGUUAGGCCGGGAACUCAAAGGAGACUGCCAGUGAUAAACUGGAGGAAGGUGGGGAGGACGUCAAGUCAUCAUGGCCCUUACGAGUAGGGCUACACACGUGCUACAAUGGCGCAUACAAAGAGAAGCGACCUCGCGAGAGCAAGCGGACCUCAUAAAGUGCGUCGUAGUCCGGAUUGGAGUCUGCAACUCGACUCCAUGAAGUCGGAAUCGCUAGUAAUCGUGGAUCAGAAUGCCACGGUGAAUACGUUCCCGGGCCUUGUACACACCGCCCGUCACACCAUGGGAGUGGGUUGCAAAAGAAGUAGGUAGCUUAACCUUCGGGAGGGCGCUUACCACUUUGUGAUUCAUGACUGGGGUGAAGUCGUAACAAGGUAACCGUAGGGGAACCUGCGGUUGGACACAACCUCCAAGUCGAAGGAUAAGGCGUGGACUACCAGGGUAUCUAAUCC